GAGCAGAGUUACAUAUAACUGAGAAAACUACAAGAGAGACAUAUUAUGAAAUCUCCCCUAAUUUUCCCUAACUUUUAAAUUACUUCCUAUAAUACACAAAACACAUUCCCUACAUCCCCCUUUUCCUUCAUCGUUUACAUUUUACAGCUCCAUACGCUACAACUAACUCCACUCAACCUCAACCAUUUUCCUCCUCCGUUCAGCCACAGAUACUAUCUAAAAUAUACCCAUAAACCCCAAAUACACAACAACCCCACCCAGAAUUAACCCCCAUGUUUUACACUUACAUGGAUAACAUACUUUUUUUGCUUUUUUACUAAUUCGUCCCUAUACUUUUCCCGAUUUUCAGAUCUACCUCCCGUUUUAUAAAAAA
rnacentral:misc_RNA from 1 species